AGUGAACGCUGGCGGUAGGCCUAACACAUGCAAGUCGAACGGCAGCACAGUAAGAGCUUGCUCUUACGGGUGGCGAGUGGCGGACGGGUGAGGAAUACAUCGGAAUCUACUUUUUCGUGGGGGAUAACGUAGGGAAACUUACGCUAAUACCGCAUACGACCUACGGGUGAAAGCAGGGGAUCUUCGGACCUUGCGCGAUUGAAUGAGCCGAUGUCGGAUUAGCUAGUUGGCGGGGUAAAGGCCCACCAAGGCGACGAUCCGUAGCUGGUCUGAGAGGAUGAUCAGCCACACUGGAACUGAGACACGGUCCAGACUCCUACGGGAGGCAGCAGUGGGGAAUCUUGGACAAUGGGCGCAAGCCUGAUCCAGCAAUACCGCGUGGGUGAAGAAGGCCUUCGGGUUGUAAAGCCCUUUUGUUGGGAAAGAAGAGCAGCAGGUUAAUACCCCGCUGUUCUGACGGUACCUAAAGAAUAAGCCCCGGCUAACUUCGUG
rnacentral:rRNA from 1 species